AACGUAGGAGACAAACGUUAUCCGGAGUUACUGGGCGUAAAGGGCGUGUAGGCGGUCUGUUAAGUCUGGCGUGAAAGCUCUCGGCUAAACCGGGAGAGGUCGUUGGAUACUGGCAAACUAGAGGACGGUAGAGGCGUGUGGAAUUCCGGGUGUAGUGGUGAAAUGCGUAGAGAUCCGGAGGAACACCAGUGGCGAAGGCGACACGCUGGGCCGUACCUGACGCUAAAGCGCGACAGCAUGGGGAGCAAACAGG
rnacentral:rRNA from 1 species